UACGGGGGGGGGUAAGCGUUGUUCGGAAUUACUGGGCGUAAAGGGCUCGUAGGCGGCCAACUAAGUCAUACGUGAAAUCCCUCAGCUUAACUGGGGAACUGCGUGUGAUACUGGAUGGCUUGGAUUUGGGAGAGGGAUGCGGAAUUCCAGGUGUAGCGGUGAAAUGCGUAGAUAUCUGGAAGAACACCAGUGGCGAAGGCGGCUCACUGGCCCGGUACUGACGCUGAGGCGCGAAAGCGUGGGAGCAACAGG
rnacentral:rRNA from 1 species